rnacentral:rRNA from 1 species
UACGGGGGGGGCAAGCGUUGUUCGGAAUUACUGGGCGUAAAGGGUUCGUAGGUGGCUCGCUAAGCCAGACGUGAAAUCCCUCAGCUUAACUGGGGAACUGCGUCUGGGACUGGAGAGCUCGAGUGCAGGAGAGGAACGCGGAAUUCCAGGUGUAGCGGUGAAAUGCGUAGAUAUCUGGAGGAACACCGGUGGCGAAGGCGGCGUUCUGGACUGCAACUGACACUGAGGAACGAAAGCCAGGGGAGCAAACGGG